rnacentral:rRNA from 1 species
GACGAACGCUGGCGGCGUGCUUAACACAUGCAAGUCGAACGAUGAAGCCGGAGCUUGCUCUGGUGAAUUAGUGGCGAACGGGUGAGUAACACGUGAGUAACCUGCCCUUGACUCUGGGAUAACUGCGGGAAACUGUAGCUAAUACCGGAUACGACCCUCGGAGGCAUCUCCUGGGGGUGGAAAGAAUUUCGGUCAAGGAUGGACUCGCGGCCUAUCAGCUAGUUGGUGAGGUAAAGGCUCACCAAGGCGACGACGGGUAGCCGGCCUGAGAGGGGGACCGGCCACACUGGGACUGGGACACGGCCCAGACUCCUACGGGAGGCAGCAGUGGGGAACAUUGCACAAUGGGCGCAAGCCUGAUGCAGCAACGCCGCGUGAGGGAUGACGGCCUUCGGGUUGUAAACCUCUUUUAGCAGGGAAGAAGCGAAAGUGACGGUACCUGCAGAAAAAGCACCGGCUAACUACGUGCCAGCCGCCGCCGUAA